GAUGAACGCUGGCGGCGUGCCUAAUACAUGCAAGUCGAGCGAACAGACGAGAGUGCUUGCACUCUCUGACGUUAGCGGCGGACGGGUGAGUAACACGUGGGUAACCUACCUAUAAGACUGGGAUAACUUCGGGAAACCGGAGCUAAUACCGGAUAAUAUUUAGCUUCGCAUGAAGCAAUAGUGAAAGACGGUUCUGCUGUCACUUAUAGAUGGACCCGCGGUGUAUUAGCUAGUUGGUGAGGUAACGGCUCACCAAGGCAACGAUACAUAGCCGACCUGAGAGGGUGAUCGGCCACACUAGGACUGAGGCACGGCCCAGACUCCUACGGGAGGCAGCAGUAGGGAAUCUUCCGCAAUGGACGAAAGUCUGACGGAGCAAUGCCGCGUGAGUGAAGAAGGUUUUCGGAUCGUAAAACUCUGUUGUAAGGGAAGAACAAGUACGUUAGUAACUGAACGUACCUUGACGGUACCUUACCAGAAAGCCACGGCUAACUACGUG
rnacentral:rRNA from 1 species